GGCUGCCUGGGGCCGCUGGUGCAGCGCCAUUACAAGCACUGCUGCUGAGGCCGUGCGGGUACCCAGCCUCCGCAGGGGGUGACCAGCUGCACCUGUUUUUCCAAAAUCCAUAGGUAAGCAAUACUCAGGGUAAAAAGUCUCCAUGAUUAAAAAUGGCAGAAGAUACUACAAGGCAAGAAGUAAGUGGGCGUGACACGGGAUUCAGGCCCUGAAUAACUGAAGAAAAGUCUCUAAAUGAAUUCUAGUAAUCCAAGGAAAUACAAGAGAGGAGAGCCUAUGGAUCAGCAACAGAAAAGGAGAAGGGGGAAAAAAACCUCAUACAAACCCUGAGCAUAACUGGCAAGGUUUAUUGCUCAGAGAGACAGUACCUUUUGCUGAGCUGAGCAUAUGGCUAACAGGAGCUAUGUCAGCAGCUGAGAACACAGCAAGUCCUGAAUCAAACUGGAUUAGGAAGCCAUUGUAUGGAUUAUUUCAAUAUAAUUCCAGUAUGAUUGGACUAGAAUCGUUAGCCGAUCCCUCAGAUACCUGGGAAAUCAUAGAGACUAUUGGGAAAGGCACUUAUGGUAAAGUCUAUAAGGUUGCCAAUAAGAAAGAUGGAAGCCUGGCAGCAGUAAAGAUUCUGGAUCCUGUCAGUGAUGUAGAUGAAGAAAUUGAAGCUGAAUAUAAUAUUUUGCAGUUUCUUCCCAAUCAUCCUAAUGUUGUUAGAUUUUAUGGCAUGUUUUACAAAGCAGAUCAAUAUGUGGGAGGACAGCUCUGGCUAGUACUUGAGCUGUGCAAUGGAGGUUCUGUCACAGAGCUCGUCAAAGGCCUGCUGAAGUGUGGCCGAAGGUUGGAUGAAGCUAUAAUCUCAUACAUCUUAUAUGGUGCUCUCUUGGGCCUCCAGCAUUUACACAAUAACCGGAUCAUUCAUCGUGAUGUGAAAGGGAACAACAUUCUCCUGACAACAGAAGGUGGAGUCAAGCUCGUUGACUUUGGUGUUUCAGCCCAGCUCACCAGCACACGGCUACGCAGAAACACCUCAGUGGGGACACCCUUUUGGAUGGCACCUGAGGUCAUUGCUUGUGAACAACAGUAUGACUACUCAUAUGAUGCUCGAUGUGACGUGUGGUCCUUGGGAAUAACAGCUAUUGAACUGGGGGAUGGAGACCCUCCUUUAUUUGACAUGCAUCCGGUGAAAACCCUUUUUAAAAUUCCAAGAAAUCCUCCUCCUACUUUGCUACAUCCUGAAAAAUGGUGCAGAGGAUUCAACCAUUUCAUUUCACAGUGUCUAAUCAAAGAUUUUGAAAAGCGUCCUUCAGUUACCCAUCUUUUGGAGCACCCAUUUAUUAAACAAGUACAUGGUAAAGACAUGUCUCUGCGAAAACAGCUGGCUGAGCUCAUCCAAGAACAACAGCAGCUGGGCUCCAGAGCCAAAACAAGACAUGAACGAAUACAUACUAGAAGACCUUACCAUGUGGAUGGAGCUGACAAGUACUCUCUAGAUGAUGAUCUGGUAAAUCUAGAAGUUCUCGAUGAGGAUACAAUUAUCCAUCAGCUGCAAAAACGCUAUGCUGACUUACAGAUUUAUACUUAUGUUGGAGACAUUUUAAUAGCCUUGAACCCCUUCCAGAAUCUCAGCAUUUAUUCUCCCCAGUUCUCCAAGCUUUACCAUGGUGUGAAGCGUUCAUCAAAUCCCCCCCACAUAUUUGCCUCUGCGGAUGCUGCCUACCAAAGCAUGGUUACAUUCAGCAAGGAUCAGUGCAUUAUCAUCAGUGGGGAAAGUGGUGCUGGAAAGACAGAAAGUGCCCAUCUGAUCGUCCAACAUUUGACCUUCUUGGGAAAGGCCAAUAACCGUGCUUUGCGUGAGAAAAUUCUUCAGGUGAAUCCUCUGGUUGAAGCAUUUGGGAAUGCCUGCACUGCCAUCAAUGACAACUCAAGUCGCUUUGGAAAAUAUCUGGAAAUGAUGUUUACACCCACAGGAGCUGUAAUGGGGGCAAAGAUUUCUGAAUAUCUCCUUGAAAAAUCAAGGGUCAUAAAACAGGCUGUGGGAGAGAAAAAUUUCCAUAUAUUUUAUUAUAUUUAUGCUGGCCUUUAUCAUCAGAAGAAACUUUCUGAAUAUAGACUUCCUGAUAAAAAGCCUCCUAGAUAUAUUGAUAAUGAAACUGGAAGAGUAAUGCAUGAUAUUGUUACUAAAGAUUCUUAUGGAAGACAAUUUGAAGCGAUUCAGCAUUGCUUUAGAAUUAUAGGAUUUACUGACGAGGAAGUGUACUCAGUGUACAGAAUUCUGACUGGAAUCUUAAAUACUGGAAAUAUUGAGUUUGCUGCCAUUUCUUCACAACACCAAACGGAUAAAAGUGAGGUUCCCAACCCAGAAGCCUUAGAUAAUGCUGCUGCACUACUAAGUAUUGGGUCAGAAGAACUUCAAGAGGCCCUAACCUCCCACUGUGUUGUAACACGGGGGGAGACUAUUAUCCGAACAAACACCGUGGACAAAGCAGCUGACGUGCGAGAUGCCAUGUCUAAAGCACUUUAUGGCCGGCUCUUCAGCUGGAUUGUAAAUCGUAUCAAUACGCUGCUUCAGCCAGAUAAAAAUAUAUGCAAUGCUGAAAGUGGGAUGAAUGUUGGGAUACUAGACAUAUUUGGAUUUGAGAACUUCGCAAGAAAUUCUUUUGAACAGCUGUGCAUAAAUAUCGCUAAUGAACAGAUCCAGUUUUAUUUCAAUCAACAUAUCUUUGCACUUGAGCAGAUGGAGUAUCAGAGCGAGGGAAUUGAUGCAACUACAGUGGAGUAUGAGGACAACCGUCCUCUUCUAGAUAUGUUCCUUCAGAAACCCAUGGGUCUUCUGUCUCUGUUAGAUGAAGAAAGUCGAUUUCCUCAGGCAACAGACCUAACUUUAGUUGAUAAAUUUGAAGAUAACUUACGAUGCAAAUACUUUUGGAGACCAAAAGGAGUAGAGCUGUCAUUUGGUAUUCAGCACUAUGCUGGAAAGGUAUUAUAUGAUGCCAGUGCAUUCCUUGAGAAGAACAGAGACACACUUCCUGCCGACAUAGUGGUGGUGUUGCGAACUUCAGAGAACAAACUUCUUCAGCAGCUGUUCUCUAGCCCAUUAACAAAGACAGGUAAUUUGGCACAAGCAAGAGCCAGAGUGACAGCAGCAUCUAGGUCUCUGCCUCCUCAGCUCAGUGCUGGGCGUAUCAAGUCUCCUAAAUAUCUCCUGAAGGUUGACACAAUGGAGGUUAUGCGGCAUCCUGAGGAAACAACUAAUAUGAAGCGGCAAACUAUGGCUUCCUAUUUUAGGUAUUCCCUCAUGGAUCUUUUAUCUAAAAUGGUUGUUGGACAGCCUCACUUUAUCCGGUGCAUUAAACCUAAUGAUGAUCGAGAAGCACUGAUGUUUUCUCACGAGAGAGUUCUGUUGCAGCUACGAUACACUGGAAUUCUGGAAACUGUCAAAAUACGUCAAAAAGGGUAUUCUCAUCGCAUCCUCUUUGAAGAGUUUGUAAAAAGGUAUUAUUACCUGGCAUUCAAGGCACAUGAGGCUCCCCUUGGUAGCAGAGAAAACUGUCUUGCCAUUUUGGAGAAAUCUAAGCUAGACAACUGGAUUCUUGGGAAGACCAAGGUUUUUUUAAAGUAUUACCAUAUAGAGCAGUUAAAUUUGUUCCUUCGAGAAGUUAUAGGGAGAGUGGUGGUCAUGCAAGCCUAUGUCAAGGGAUGGCUCGGAGCAAGGAGGUACAAGAAAGUCAAAGAUAAAAGAGAAAACAGUGCUCUUACUAUACAGUCAGCCUGGAGAGGAUAUGAAGCUCGCAGGAAGUACAAGGAAAUAAGGAACAGAAGAACUGAUGCUGCUAUACAUAUUCAAGCAGCUUUCAGGGGAUAUAUUGUUCGUAAAAACUACACAAGAUUGAAAACCAGCACUGAGCGUGUAGCAGAUCCUCAGCUUACAAGCAGCUGCUCUACUUCUGAUUUUGGCUGUGAAGAAGACUGGCAGCAAACCAGUAACCGGUCUUCUCCCAUGGUGCCUGAUUUUCUUGACAAACAAACGAAAAAGAAUGAUUUGGAUGAGAUUUCUGCUUCUCCAGUAAUUCUAAAACAUUCAUUCGAAGUAAAUGAUUCACAAUCAAUUAGCCAAUCCGAGGCAGUUGCAGACCAUCAGUUGUCAAGCCUCUUGAGAUCUCGUAAAAAAGGAGGUUCAGAAAACUGUCUUGAACAGAAGCUGAGAACACCUCGUCGACGAUGUCAGCAGCCCAAAAUGCUGAAUAGCCCUGAGGACAACAUGUACUAUAACCAGUUAAAUGGAACUCUAGAAUAUCAAGGGAGCAAGAGGAAGCCAAGAAAACUUGGCCAAAUCAAAGUGCUGGAUGGAGAGGAUGAGUAUUACGAAUCAUUGUCAGCUGUUGAAUCUACUCCUGAAGAUGACAGUUUUCUUAGUUCCCCAUCUCCUCCUUCUUCGAGACGUGUGUCUUUUGCUCAAAGCUGAACCUCACUUACUCUGUUGACUAAUACUGAUGUUAAGCUUGUAACAAUCUCAGCCAUCAGAAAUGGACUUCAAAGAAAUUUUAAGCAGUCUUUACUUGCAUGGAAAGGGUAAAAUACAAUAUUUUCCUUAUUAUAUGCAAUUCCACUAUCUACAUCUGCUAUAAUUUUUUCAAAUUAGUUUAAUGUCACUAAUACUUUUAUACUGAAGUUACUAUCUAAAACCUGCUGUUGAGUAGUGUGUUUUCGUUCUUGUUACUUCUUGGCUAAACACUAUGCAUACAGUCAGUCUGUGCAUUUUAUUCUUUCCUAGCUUAUCCCCCUUUCCUCAUUUGCUUUUGAUAAGUCACUUUACCCUCACCAGAUAAGCUCUGUGAGGUUGUCUUCUCUCAUUGUGAUUUUAGAGCACUUAUAUGCCUUUGGAUUGUUAAAAGCCUUGCUGUAGAGCCGUGGAGUCACAGCAAGACUGGCCAAAGAGUUGAACUUCUGUUAACCACAUUCAUAGAUGUGUGUGUUUGGGUUGAUUUGUGUGUGAAAAGGAGUACGGGAGGCAUGUCAGUGUGACAUCCUGGUCAGUGGAAGCAUAUCAAUGUAAAUUGCUUAGAUGUUCUCAUUUAGUUUUGAUACCACUGAAGCAUUGUUCUGAUUUAUUUCCUUUCAUGUAUAUUAUCCUGAAAUAUUAAUGUAUUUUUCUUAAUAGUUCAUAACAUAUCCUGUUGUUAAUAUUUUAUAAAAGUAAAGAGUUUAAAUCCUGUUAGGAAGAAUAAAAUUUCUUAGGCAGUGUGUAAUAAUUUAAACAGUUUUCAGCAGAUGGGAGAGAAAAGGGUGAAGCUCAACAAGGGAUUUUAGUAGAUUUCUUCUGUAGAGCUUAAUGGCACUAGAAACUGGUUCUUGCUGAGGACAAUUUCUGCCUUUCAGUUAUGGCAGCUUAAAAACUUCUCUCUGUGCCAAAAAAAAUCAGGGCAGGGAGCUUUUGGAGAUUAGCCCCUUUCAUUUGGUAAUUUUAAACGUGCUUCUGACUUAAACAUUUACAUCACUUUAGUAACAUAAAGGAACCUUAGAAUAGGAGUAAAUUGCAGCCAUCUUAAAUUUGCCCCCACUGUGACCUCCCUCACCCAUACACUGUAAGAUUUGUGGAAAGGGCUUUUGUGCACUGAAGGUCUUUUAAGUGGCCCCUAUCAGGCUACCCAAGGACUUCUUGUUCCUUAGAAGCUGAUAAAAUAUGGCUGUAAAUAAUGUAAAGCUAAAAACUGUGUGGUACUACUAUCUAUUUUACAAAUAAAAAUUGAUGUGAAAUAGAGUUUAAGUCUCAGUUCAAAAAUUUCACCUUUUUAAAAAAGAAGUAAUGUUACAAUUGAAUGUUUAUCGCCUCCUGUUCUAAGAAUUGUAAUUGUAUAGGGAUAUUGCUUUUUUAAUUGUAAAAUAGUUAGCAAUGAGAUAAAUAACUGAAGUCUACCAUACUCUUAUUUCUCAUUCCAUUUUUGACUGUCUCAAAACAGAAGGAGAAUUUUGAGAGACAAGCCAAGCUCUGGCAUUUUUAAAUGUCUUCAGGUUAACCAUAUAUAUAUAUACAUACAAUUGAAAAUGAAGCCAUAUGGCACAAAAGUAUCAUCCUAUGAGAAAAGGCUGGAAAUUCCCAAUGAUUUUUAGAGUAUAUAUGCAAAUUAUGGAGAGAAAAGGAAGUAACGUGCAAAAAGGACAACACUCUGGACUCCCUGUGCAACAGUGCAAGUUGAGAAGACUCCCAUGAUUUGAACAUGCCAGACACCUCAUAAAUAAUGCCUGUAAGAUUGUUGGAGGGAACCAGCCAAACAUGGAUCAACAAGAAGCUGGUAAAGGAAAAUCAGUGUCUCAAAACUUGGCUGAUCCAGGAAUAUCGUUGUGUGUUUGUGCCUCAUAUAUUUGCGGAGCAUCAGAUUCUCUGUGUUUGAUCAUACACAGUGGUAGAAGGGUUCACUGGAAAAGGUUAGUGGAACACUGACUGAGAGGAGGAAAAAACUAGCAGAGAGAGAGUCUACUUGAGGUGGGGGAAAAUUAGCUCUACUAACUGCUCCUGUGCGUGAGAUCAAGGAAAUACAGAUAGUAGUAUUACUUAAUUCCCAAAGUUGUGUAGUAGCAAAGCUUGCAGAUCUUUCUGCAGGGGAGGUCAUCACCAUUGAGAGUGAUUGUUUUGAUGAUUGGCAAGUGAAGCUAGAGCUUGGACAGAAUCCUGCUAAAGCAGAGAAAGGCUGGGCUGUAAAGGUAAGCAAGUAUCUAGUUAUUUCUGCUCAGUAUGUUCAGUGUUAGAGUUAUAGAGGCACAUUUGGUUGUUCAGUACAGCCCACCUAAUGUGUAUUUUGUCCUUAUAAAACAAAGGUGUUAGGCUCUAGUUUUUUACUUACUUUAUGCUCUAAUCACUGUCCACCAGGAAGAGUAGAAAUAUAGUUAUUGUGGGCAUAUUGGCUUAUUGCUCUGUUUGCACAGGCUGCAUGUUUGUCUCCUAAUUGUCUCCACACAGCCUCAUUGCUGCCUUUCUGCCUGUCCAAGGUUGUCUGGGCUUUAGUCUUUGUCUGUCUUUUCCACAGAAAGAUCAACAUCUGCUCAUAGUUCAAAGUUCCUAAAAGAAUGCUCAAGUGUCAGAAGAGACUGACAUGAAACUGGGGGGAUAGGAGGGAUAUAGAAAAGAGUUUGGAUUUUGCAAGGUGAAUGAGGUGGAACAUUAUAUUAUAUGGUCCCAAGUCAUGUGCCUCUGCUCGUCAGUCCAAUUCCCUACUCUUCAGUAGGGUUAAUAUAUGACAUAGGACAAUAUAUGACACUGUGACAUGAUACAGUGGUCCCCCUGUGUUACCUUUGAUAAAAAAAUGCAAUAAUAACGUAGUUAUCUCUUUAUAGAGGAAUUGUGAAGAUAAAUGCUUUAAAGAUGAUGUGCUCGUAGUGACUAAAGCUCCUCCCAAUACACUCACUGCAGUUUGACCACCUUCUUACUCAGGGCUGUCACAGGAUUUUGCUUGUUGAUCCAAUUUCCAUAAUUCCCCCAGCUCUACAGCUGCACUCCUGUUACUUAGAAAAAUAUCCUGAAUAUUCCCUACACACCUGGCUGCUAUAUCCUUACAUACCCUGUCACUGGUAAACUUGGCAAGUUGACAGAAGUUUACAAAAAGAAGAAAGGGAAACUGUGAAAAAUAAUUGCUUUACUGGCUGAUGGCAGGAGAGAACAGGGAAGUAAAGGCAAAAUUUCCACCCCUUAUCUAGUUUGAAUAUAUAUAUGGGUUGAGUGUCAGAGGUGGCUUUAUAUGGCUCUGUAGAGUAAAAUGUUAUUUUAGCAAAAAAAGAACAUACCACAGAGAUGAAAACAGCUUCAGUCAAUCACUCAGAACUGCUGUUCAUCUUGAUAUUCUCAUAAUCAGUGACCCCAGCAUUGGCAUGUGUGAUUCCAUGCUCAUUCUUAGUUUUUCCAUUCAGUCUUGGCACCGAUGUGGUGCCUGCUCAGGGGUUACCUUUUCUCUCCACCUAGAUGAUUAGCGUUUUGCUUCUGACCCCUCCUAAAAUUCUGGCUUGCAUUCAGGCAUCUGACCAGUGAUAGAGUCUGUGUAGCUCUGUUUCCUUUUUCCUACAUCCCUCCUCUGCUGCUUUCUAGUUGUUGAUGCUUUACUUGGAGCACUGCAAAUAGUGUAUAAAUGAUAGUGGAGCAGCAUAUGCCAAAGGAAAGAACAAAGCUGACUAGAUUGUACUAUUUCUAAGUAUUUAUAAGAAAAUACUGAUCAACUGGAGCUUGUCUGACUGGUAGAGCAACAGUAGACAGAGGAAGUGAUUAGUUUUAUGGGUAGUGUGGUCAAAAUCCCUGUGAGGGCUAUAAAAUAGGGAGCAGCAACUGAAUUGAUGACUAGUGAGGCAUAUGGCAUCUAAAUUAACAGCGUCUCCCAGGAGAAGGUCAUCAGGGUAUCAGAAGGCUGAAGCAGAAAAUUCGUUUUGUCUCUUCCUACAUGAAAUUUGUGUGAUACAGGGAUGCUGUAGUAAUAUGGAAAACCAGAUAAAACUGGAGGUAUAACACUUUGAGUCUUUGCUGUAGAGUUUAAUGGAUAAGGCUAUGUACAUUGCUAGAACUACCUCUAACCUCACUGUGUACAUUUCUAAAACUUUAUUUAAGAGGGAUUUUGACUACUAUGUUCUCUUGUAAACAGUUUUACUUCUAGAAUCCAAACUAUCUUACCCUUAGUUUAGAGCUAAGUAAAUGAGAACAGGCGGGAGAAAUUCAUAAAUCAACUGAUAACUUUAUCUCAUUAAAGAGAAUCAUUGGCACUAUAGAACAGCUGCUUUCUGAAUCACUCCAUGUGCCAAGGACACUUAGCAUGGGUAGUGAUGGAAGUGGAAAAAUGGAGCAAAGUGUGAGGCCAGUUCAGUUUUUAUGGGCAUCUCUUCCACCAACUUCUGUAAGAAUCUUGACAGAAAAAGAACAUUAUUUUUCAGCCCCAAACUCUAGUGCAUUGAUAAGGAUGACAGCAUUUUACAAAGUUAGUCUGAUGACACUGAUAAAAUUGCAUGACUUAGUGUUUUUUCUCCAGGCUUUUUUAUCUUAAGACAAAAAAAUUAGAAAAUGGUUCUUUGUGGUUUAGUGUGACCUCUUAAGAAGCAGUCAGUGGUUUUCAGUCGCAGAUUUCUGUGUCAUCUGGGCAUUGGAGUGCCAGCACUGUAACAUCGUAGGCUUGCUCUUAGUUCCAAGCAUAAGGAUUAGGUAAGUUAGACUAAUAAAUUACCGUUUUAUUGCAUUAUCUGUCCUUUUCCAUGGACUGUUCUCUCUUUCAUAUGUAAUAUGUGAUUCUCUCAGCUCAACGCUAGUAGAAUAUGGGGGCUUUCUUCAUGUAGUAGGAAAAUAGGAAUGUGAGAUUUACUGAGGGAGAGAAGCCAGAAAGUGUACCCAUUUGAAGAUCUUUUUUUCUUCCCAUCCAUCUCAGAGGUUCCAGAAGUGUGAGAAAAAUUACACCAUUCAUUAGACUGUAUCAAGUCAUUGACAUGCUGACGCCCUUGUUUUUGAGGAGAAUACCCUUUCUCUUGUCCUGGGUUCUCAAACAGCUGGUCAAGCUGUUUGCCCCUGAGCAAUAGGGGCUGACUGAAGAGUGAAAUGUGAUUUAUUCCCACAUUAGGGUUGUUUGCUUUGAUUUGACGUGGCCAGCUAGCCAGCAGGAGGUACAUGCCUCGGCCCGUGCUCCUGAGGUUUCAGCUGAGCUGGUGUAAGUUGUUUAAAUGUUUGGUGAGGAGCAGCCUGGUAAUCUGUGUACAGAACUGAGGCAAGGAGCUCCUCUUUCCAAGCCUGGAGCAGUUGUGUGUAUGGCAAUGGUUGUUCCCUUUGAAAAGAAGGGGAAAGAAGCUGAUUCUACUGCAUAAGAGUAUGGUGAGAAUGACUUCACGUUUCUGUAGUUCUGCGAGGAUGGGAAGCAUAAUACAAACAUUGUAUAUAUUUGAAAUAAUUUUAUUGAUGGUAUUUUUAUUUUUCAGAAUUGGAGGUGAAUUUUUAUUUGGGUAGUUAAUGUAAUUUAUGCAUUUACCUAUUUAUGUGUUAUUCUGCAUCGCUUAAGACAUCAAGUUAUGAAAUGACACAGAAACAUACUGUGCACUGCUUUCCUGAAAAGACUUUUCUGGCAGUCUACAAGAGCAGUGUUCACCUAGGGAGAGAUAAAUAAUUUCAAAAUUGUAAUUGAAGCUUUCCCCAGUCUUUCAUGGGAUCCUGGGCCUGUGGUACCAACCAAGAAGACUGGCAUUU